ACAAAGACAAACUCCUGAUUUCCGUGUCUAACGUUUGACCGUCCGUCUUAUUUAAAAAAAAUAUAUAAAAACAAUUAAAAAGACAAGUCACGCAUAAAAUAUUAAUCAUGUUUUAUCAUCUAACAACAAUGAAAAUACGAAUUAUAAAAAAAUUUCUUAUAAGACGGACAGUUAAAGUUGGACACGAAAACCUAGGGUUUGUCUUUUU
rnacentral:pre_miRNA from 1 species